GUGGGGAAUUUUGGACAAUGGGCGAAAGCCUGAUCCAGCCAUGCCGCGUGCAGGAUGAAGGCCUUCGGGUUGUAAACUGCUUUUGUACGGAACGAAAAGACUCCUUCUAAUAAAGGGGGUCCAUGACGAUACCGUAAGAAUAAGCACCGGCUAACUACGUGCCAGCAGCCGCGGUAAUACGUAGGGUGCAAGCGUUAAUCGGAAUUACUGGGCGUAAAGCGUGCGCAGGCGGUUAUAUAAGACAGAUGUGAAAUCCCCGGGCUCAACCUGGGAACUGCAUUUGUGACUGUAUAGCUAGAGUACGGUAGAGGGGGAUGGAAUUCCGCGUGUAGCAGUGAAAUGCGUAGAUAUGCGGAGGAACACCGAUGGCGAAGGCAAUCCCCUGGACCUGUACUGACGCUCAUGCACGAAAGCGUGGGGAGCAAACAGGAUUAGAUACCCCAGUAGUCC
rnacentral:rRNA from 1 species